rnacentral:precursor_RNA from 12 species
AGAGAAAGGAUCUUACUGGCUAGCUUGGUUACUCACUCAACCUGGGUGUGAUGUGUUUAUGGAGCCCAUCACAACCUCCUUGAGUGAGCGACUAGGCGCGCCGAGUUCGUCUGGAUUUCGU